rfam:Populus trichocarpa scaffold_28_contig_12, whole genome shotgun sequence.
UCUAGAACUCGAGAUAUGGGCUGAACACUGAAUAGUAUCUAGGCUGCAGAACAGAUUCUGACAUCUCUUUGGUUGCUACAAUUUGAGCUUGAAAACGGCUGUUUUGAGUCUUGGACUCUCAUGAAAGUUUUAGGCCUAUAUCUUAGCUUUCCAUC